GACGAACGCUGGCGGCGUGCUUAACACAUGCAAGUCGAACGGAAAGGCCCUGCUUUUGUGGGGUGCUCGAGUGGCGAACGGGUGAGUAACACGUGAGUAACCUGCCCUUGACUUUGGGAUAACUUCAGGAAACUGGGGCUAAUACCGGAUAGGAGCUCCUGCUGCAUGGUGGGGGUUGGAAAGUUUCGGCGGUUGGGGAUGGACUCGCGGCUUAUCAGCUUGUUGGUGGGGUAGUGGCUUACCAAGGCUUUGACGGGUAGCCGGCCUGAGAGGGUGACCGGCCACAUGGGGACUGAGAUACGGCCCAGACUCCUACGGGAGGCAGCAGGGGGGAAUAUGGCACAAUGGGCGGAGGCCGGAUGCAGCAACGCCGCGUGCGGGAUGACGGCCUUCGGGUUGUAAACCGCUUUCGCCUGUGACGAAGCGUGAGUGACGGUAAUGGGUAAAGAAGCACCGGCUAACUACGU
rnacentral:rRNA from 1 species